AUUACUUGGAGAUCUUGUUAAAAUGCAGAUUCUGAUGUGGGAGGUCUGGGUUGAAGCCUGAGAUUCUACAUUUCUAACAAGUUCCCAGGUGAUACCACU
rnacentral:pre_miRNA from 1 species